GACGAACGCUGGCGGCGUGCUUAACACAUGCAAGUCGAACGGAAAGGCCUCUUCGGAGGUACUCGAGUGGCGAACGGGUGAGUAACACGUGGGUAAUCUGCCCUGCACUUCGGGAUAAGCCUGGGAAACUGGGUCUAAUACCGGAUAUGACCUUUUGGCGCAUGCCUUUUGGUGGAAAGCUUUUGCGGUGUGGGAUGGGCCCGCGGCCUAUCAGCUUGUUGGUGGGGUGAUGGCCUACCAAGGCGACGACGGGUAGCCGGCCUGAGAGGGUGUCCGGCCACACUGGGACUGAGAUACGGCCCAGACUCCUACGGGAGGCAGCAGUGGGGAAUAUUGCACAAUGGGCGCAAGCCUGAUGCAGCGACGCCGCGUGGGGGAUGACGGCCUUCGGGUUGUAAACCUCUUUCAGCAGGGACGAAGCGCAAGUGACGGUACCUGCAGAAGA
rnacentral:rRNA from 1 species